CCCUGGCUUCGGUGCCAGGGACCGAAGAAUUUUCAUGUCCAUUACUACUAUGUUUGUCCCAGUUUGUGAAAAAGGAAAGCAUCUUGUGCUGAUUAACUUGUGCUGCCAUGAAAAAUGCAGCUGCUCCUAACUUCGUCAGAGCAGGAGAGCUCCUCCAGGCUGGUCUGUCUGCCAAGGUAAGCUAAGCUUACCGGGCUGCUGGACUUGGACUUGGACCACACUAGCUGCAUGAUCUCGGCCCUGCAUUCUGAGAUUUCCCGCUACCAUCUGUUUGUGGCGGCUGAAAGUGAAUGCAAAGGGUUUAGUAGAGUUGUAUGCUCUGCAGGAGGAGAGAGCACAGUUCCAGGUUUGGAUGAAGAUACCCAAAAGUUCUGAUCCUCUUCAUGUCCAGCCAUCGUCUGCUCACCUGUCAAUAUACUGUUUAUAUAAAAAUUUGCUUAUGAUUAGACAGUCAAGGUAUUAAUUCCCUGUACUUAUGAUUGUCGUUUUAAAUAAAUCAUGCAGUUGUAAAGCAACAACUCUG